CGGGUGAGUAACACGUAUGGCAACCUGCCUGCCACAGCCGGAUAAUCGGGAGAAAUUCCGUCUAAUACGGCAUAAUGCAUCGACGGGACAUCCUGUUGGUGCCAAAGGUUGAUUCCGGUGGCGGAUCGGGCAUGCGUCGCAUUAGUUAGUUGGCGGUGUAACGGACCACCAAGACGACGAUGCGUAGGGGUUCUGAGAGGAAGGUCCCCCACACUGGUACUGAGACACGGACCAGACUCCUACGGGAGGCAGCAG
rnacentral:rRNA from 1 species